rnacentral:rRNA from 1 species
UACGAAGGGUGCAAGCGUUACUCGGAAUUACUGGGCGUAAAGCGUGCGUAGGCGGUGAGUUAAGUCUGUUGUGAAAGCCCCGGGCUCAACCUGGGAAUGGCGAUGGAUACUGGCUCGCUAGAGUGCGGUAGAGGAGAGUGGAAUUCCUGGUGUAGCGGUGAAAUGCGUAGAUAUCUGGAGGAACACCGAUGGCGAAGGCAGCGUUCUGGGCUGCAACUGACGCUGAGAAGCGAAAGCCUGGGUAGCAAACAGG